rnacentral:rRNA from 1 species
GACGAACGCUGGCGGCGUGCCUAAUACAUGCAAGUAGGACGCAGUUGCGAACGGGUGAGUAACGCGUAGGUAACUGCCUAUUAGAGGGGGAUAACUAUUGGAAACGAUAGCUAAUAACGCAUAAUAGUAGAUGGACCUGCGUUGUAUUAGCUAGUAGGUAUGGUAAUGGCCUACCUAGGCGACGAUACAUAGCCGACCGGAGAGGGUGAUCGGCCACACUGUGACUGAGACACGGCCCAGACUCCUACGGGAGGCAUCAGUAGGGAAUCUUCGGCAAUGGGCGCAAGCCUGAUGCAGCCAUGCCGCGUGUAUGAAGAAGGCCUUCGGGUUGUAAAGUACUUUCAGCGGGGAGCGUUACCCGCAGAAGAAGCACCGGCUAACUCCGUGCCAGCAGCCGCGGUAAUUC